UACGUAGGGGGCAAGCGUUGUCCGGAAUUAUUGGGCGUAAAGCGCACGCAGGCGGUUCGCUAAGUUCGAGGUGACAAUCACCGGCUUAACCGGUGAACGAUUUCGAAAACUGGCGGACUUGAGAGCGAGAGAGGGACAUGGAACUCCGGGUGGAGCGGUGAAAUGCGUAGAGAUCCGGAAGAACACCACUGGCGCAGGCAGUGUCCUGGCUCGUAUCUGACGCUGAGGUGCGAAAGCUAGGGGAGCGAACGGG
rnacentral:rRNA from 1 species